GGGGGAAGCAAUUAAAAGGGAAUCAGGUGCAAGUCCUGAACAGUCCCGCUGCUGUAAGUUCCAUACAAGUUACAAGCAAUUCACUCAUUGCCACUGGAGACCAAUCCGGGAAGGCGUUUGUAACAGGAAUAAGUCAGAAGACCUGCCAUGCAACCA
rnacentral:ncRNA from 1 species